GGGYUUACAUGCAGUCGAACGGGAUCCCUGGCAGCUUGCUGUCGGGGUGAGAGUGGCGAACGGGUGAGUAAUGCGUGACCAACCUGCCCUGUGCACCGGAAUAGCUCCUGGAAACGGGUGGUAAUACCGGAUGCUCCGCUCCAUCGCAUGGUGGGGUGGGAAAUGCUUUUGCGGCAUGGGAUGGGGUCGCGUCCUAUCAGCUUGUUGGCGGGGUGAUGGCCCACCAAGGCGUUGACGGGUAGCCGGCCUGAGAGGGUGACCGGCCACAUUGGGACUGAGAUACGGCCCAGACUCCUACGGGAGGCAGCAGUGGGGAAUAUUGCACAAUGGGCGCAAGCCUGAUGCAGCGACGCCGCGUGCGGGAUGGAGGCCUUCGGGUUGUAAACCGCUUUUGUUCAAGGGCAAGGCACGGUUUCGGCCGUGUUGAGUGGAUUGUUCGAAUAAGCACCGGCUAACUACGUGCCAGCAGCCGCGGUAAUACGUAGGGUGCGAGCGUUAUCCGGAUUUAUUGGGCGUAAAGGGCUCGUAGGCGGUUCGUCGCGUCCGGUGUGAAAGUCCAUCGCCUAACGGUGGAUCUGCGCCGGGUACGGGCGGGCUGGAGUGCGGUAGGGGAGACUGGAAUUCCCGGUGUAACGGUGGAAUGUGUAGAUAUCGGGAAGAACACCAAUGGCGAAGGCAGGUCUCUGGGCCGUCACUGACGCUGAGGAGCGAAAGCGUGGGGAGCGAACAGGAUUAGAUACCCUGGUAGUCCACGCCGUAAACGGUGGAUGCUGGAUGUGGGGCCCUUUCCACGGGUCCCGUGUCGGAGCCAACGCGUUAAGCAUCCCGCCUGGGGAGUACGGCCGCAAGGCUAAAACUCAAAGAAAUUGACGGGGGGCCCGCACAAGCGGCGGAGCAUGCGGAUUAAUUCGAUGCAACGCGAAGAACCUUACCUGGGCUUGACAUGUGCCGGAUCGCCGUGGAGACACGGUUUCCCUUCGGGGCCGGUUCACAGGUGGUGCAUGCUCGUCGUCAGCUCGUGUCGUGAGAUGUGUGUUAAGUCCCGCAACGAGCGCAACCCUCGCCGCAUGUGCCAGGCGGGUGAUGCCGGGAACUCAUGUUGGACCGUCGGGUCACUCGGAGGAGGUGGGGAUGACGUCAGAUCAUCAUGCCCUUACGUCAGGCUCACGCAUGCUACAAUGCGCUACACCCGGUGCGACUGGUGACGUGGGGGCGAUCGCUGAAAACCGGUCUCUCAGAUUUCGCGAUACUGCAACAUCCU
rnacentral:rRNA from 1 species